CACUGAAUGUCUUUGUGAUUAUAACAAGCAAAAAAUACAACUUGUAUGUUUCCACAUCCCAAAGGUCGAUUCUGUUCGUUGGAUGAAACAUUUGGUUGCUCAUCAGGUGACUUCUUCAGUCUGAGCUGACUGCAGGUUUCCAACCUUAUAAACAGGACAUUUGUACAGUGACUGAAACUAGCACCACUGACUAACAAUGGGCUGUGACCUCAGUUUCUGAUCAUUAAUAAGCAAAUCGUCGUGACCAUAGACCACUGAUCAAUGACCAUGAGUCCCAUUCACAGAGAGUUGGGGAAUGGCUGCAAUCACAGCAUUGUAAGAUGGUGACAGAUGUACCCUUAGGCCCCCUCCUCCAUUCAGAGAUGGGGCGUUUAUCAAUAUGCGUACUUGUGCGUACUUGCGUUCUCGUGUACUCGUGAUACGUCAUCAGUCGGAGACCAAGUACUGUUCCAAUUCGAAGUACGCAUCACACCGAGAACGCGAAAAAGUCCCGGAUGUGUUCUCGAUCCGCCCGUUUUAUCGAGCAUGCAUCGGUGUAGACUUGGGACAGCUAAAUAUCCCAGAAUGCAUUUCGUCCAAAACUCAACAGCGGACUCCCGGCACAUUGUUUCCACCCCCCCCCACUCCCGCUCCCGCUCGCGGUCUUCUCACUACUCAGGUUAAAGAAACUCCAGCAACUGUCUAUAGUAUUGAGUGUCCACUAAAAUAGAAAUAAAAGCGUUCUAACAUCUCACCUGCUUGUUUUUAUUAAGGUAUGUACACGUAUGUACAUGUACACUAUUUUUAUUAAUAGAGGUUUCACUACUGAGGUUAAAAAUGAUAUAUAAGUCACUUAGAUCACUUCUAAAUGUUAAUGUUUGGUUUAUUUCAGUGUUUUAUUUGUUCCUGAGUAAACCGGUUUGGCUGUGAUUAAAGUUAAGCUUCAUAACAUGUUACUCACAGUUAAAUUAGGAGGGGACGGCAGUAAAAACUCCGGACCUGUGACAUCAUCACGUACGCUGGUGUUCCAAUUGUACAUAUCGCGAGUCCGUGCUCGCGUUCUCGGCGAGUACGUACUCACCGAGAACGCGAGUACGUACUCGCGUACUUGGGCAUUGAUAAACGGCCAUCGUC
ensembl:lncRNA